rnacentral:rRNA from 1 species
GACGAACGCUGGCGGCGUGCCUAAUACAUGCAAGUAGAACGCUGAAGGAGGAGCUUGCUUCUCUGGAUGAGUUGCGAACGGGUGAGUAACGCGUAGGUAACCUGCCUGGUAGCGGGGGAUAACUAUUGGAAACGAUAGCUAAUACCGCAUAAUAGUAGAUGUUGCAUGACAUUUGCUUAAAAGGUGCAAUUGCAUCACUACCAGAUGGACCUGCGUUGUAUUAGCUAGUUGGUGGGGUAACGGCUCCCCAAGGCGACGAUACAUAGCCGACCUGAGAGGGGGAUCGGCCACACUGGGACUGAGACACGGCCCAGGCUCCUACGGGAGGCAGCAGUAGGGAAACUUCGGCAAUGGACGGAAGGCUGACCGAGCAACGCCGCGUGAGGGAAGAAGGGUUUCGGAUCGGAAAGCUCUGUUGUAAGAGAAGAACGAGUGUGAGAGUGGAAAGUUCACACUGUGACGGUAUCUUACCAGAAAGGGACGGCUAACUACGUG